CGCGAAACCUUUACACUGCACGCCAGUGCGAUAAGGGGACUCCAAGUGCGAGGGCAUAUCGUCCUCGCUUUUCACCACCGUAGGUGGUGGUGGAAUAAGGGCUGGGCAAGACCGGUGCCAGCCGCCGCGGUAAUACCGGCAGCCCGAGUGAUGACCGCUAUUAUUGGGCCUAAAGCGUCCGUAGCUGGCCUCGCAAGUCCAUCGGGAAAUCCGCGCGCUCAACGCGCGGGCGUCCGGUGGAAACUGCGUGGCUUGGGACCGGAAGACCUGAGGGGUACGUCUGGGGUAGGAGUGAAAUCCUGUAAUCCUGGACGGACCACCGGUGGCGAAAGCGCCUCAGGAGGACGGAUCCGACGGUGAGGGACGAAAGCUCGGGUCACGAACCGGAUUAGAUACCCGGGUAGUCCAAGCUAUAAACGAUGUCUGCUAGGUGUGCCACAGGCUACGAGCCUGUGGUGUGCCGUAGGGAAGCCGUGAAGCAGACCGCCUGGGAAGUACGUCCGCAAGGAUGAAACUUAAAGGAAUUGGCGGGGGAGCACUACAACCGGAGGAGCCUGCGGUUUAAUUGG
rnacentral:rRNA from 1 species